rnacentral:rRNA from 1 species
ACUCAAAUGAAUUGACGGGGACCCGCACAAGCGGUGGAGCAUGGGGUUUAAUUCGACGAUACGCGAAGAACCUUACCGAGGUUUGACAUCCUAGGAAUCUUUGAGAAAUCAGAGAGUGCCUUCGGGAACCUAGUGACAGGUGCUGCAUGGCCGUCGUCAGCUCGUGUCGUGAGAUGUUGGGUUAAGUCCCGCAACGAGCGCAACCCUUGUCGUGUGUUGAAUUUUUCACACGAGACUGCCCGGGCCAACCGGGAGGAAGGUGGGGAUGACGUCAGGUCAGCAUGGCCCUUACACCUCGGGCCACACCCGUGCUACAAUGGCCGGUACAACGCGUUGCCAAAGCGCAAGCUGGAGCUAAUCGCAUCAAAACCGGUCCCAGUUCGGAUCGGGGGCUGCAACUCGCCCCCGUGAAGUUGGAAUCGCUAGUAAACGUGGGUCAGCAUACCACGUUGAAUACGUUCCCGGGUCUUGCACACACCGCCCGU